rnacentral:rRNA from 1 species
CUACGGGAGGCUGCAGUCGAGAAUCCUUCGCAAUGCUCGAAAGAGUGACGAGGCGACACCGCGUGAAGGAUGAAGCCCUGCGGGGUGUAAACUUCUUUUAACCGAGAAGAACUUUUGUGACUGUAUCGGUUGAAUAAGGGGCAGCUAAUCACGUGCCAGCAGCUGCGGUAAUACGUGAGGCCCCAAGCGUUAUCCGAAUUUACUGGGCGUAAAGCGUUCGUAGGCGCUCCAAUAGGUUUCUUAUUAAAUCUCCAGAGCUUAACUUUGGAAUCGUAAGGAAAACCGGUGGAGUAGAGGAUGUUAGGGGCUGAUAGAACCUUUGGUGUAGGGGUGGAAUCCGUUGAUAUCAAAGGGAAUACCAAAAGCGAAGGCAUUCAGCUGGAGCAAUCCUGACGCUGAGGAACGAAAGCGUGGGUAUCGAAUGGGAUUAGAUACCCGCGUAGUC